GGCCUCCCAAAAAUCUCAAUCCAUUGCUUCUUCUUCCCUUCUCUCUCCAAGGGUGGAGGAGGGGGAGGAGGAGGAGAGAAUUUUCUCUCACGGGCCGGGGUAAGGGACAUCGGAGCAAGGAGGGAAGGACUCCCACUGCAGAAGUGGCUGCCUCCGUGGCGUCUUUCGUAGAUGGAUUACAUAUCCCCUGAGAGAAGUCUGGAUGGGACUUGUGGAGACCCUGGUCCUUUAUUUGGAGAUCAAGAUGGUUGCUUGUUGGAGCACAUGGAUUAUCAUGAUUCUGUACCCUAUAUGAAUGAUCAGAUCAUGUGCAAUACAAUGAAAUCUGCUUCGACUAGUCCAGCAUCUCCCCUGAAGCAAGACGAGGAACAUCAUGUGCAUAUAGAAUCUGAUAUGCAAAACGAUGCAGCUGAACGGAAAGUUCACCAUAAUGAUGACUGUGAAGUACGUACCACUUCUCCGGGUUAUGAUGUGCAUCAGAAUACAGAAGUGGUUGAAGCUGAUAAUAGCAGUAGGGAUUAUCAAUUUAGCAAUAGCGGUGAUGAUGAUGAUGAAAUUCCAAACUCUUCUGCGCCUCAGAUGGGAAAUAAGGACAACAGAAAGUUACAUGAGACUUUUCACAAUGAAGUGAAUGGGGCAGAUGAUGAUCAAAUGAAUGGUGGGAAUUCUAAUCCUCAUGAUGAACAUGACAAUGAGAACUUCAACUCUGCAACUGCACCUUCCUAUUUGGAUGGGAUGGAGCAGGAAGAUCCUGGUACCGAGAAUGGCAUUUCCACGCCUGGCAAUCAGUGGGAUUCUCCACCUGAAAGGUCUGCAGGACUAGAGAAGGGCACACCAUCACCAGCCAGGAGGGUCUCACUUUCAGUAGAAAGGUCACCUCAUGCUCAUUCAUCUGAGAAACUGGACUCACCACAUCAUGCAAAAGAGGGUGAUAAUUUGGCUGACUCUCGAAGCCCACCAGCAAGACAUCGGUCCCGAUCUCCUGGAUCUCCUGAAAACCAUGACACCAACCGUAGAAGAGCUCCCUCACAUGAGUUGUCUCCACAUGCACGGGAUAACUCUCCAGAAAGAAAAGCACAAUCUUGGCGUGGAGAUGGGUCACCGCGCCGAAGAUCUACAUCCCCUGGAAGAAGAGAUGGGUCACCACAGCGAAGAUCAGCUUCCCCUAAAAGAAGAGAUGGGUCACCGCGACGAAGAUCAGCUUCCCCUAGAAGAAGACAUGGUUCACCACGCCGAAGAUCUGCAUCCCCUAAAAGAAGAGAUGGGUCACCUCGCAGAAGAUCUCCAUCCCCCAAAAGAAGACACGGGUCACCACGACGAAGAUCUCCAUCCCCUAAAAGGAGGAAUGGGUCACCACGGCGAAGAUCUCCAUCCCCUAAAAGGAGGCAUGGGUCACCACGGCGAAGAUCUCCAUCUCCUAAAAGAAGAGCCUCACCCAAGAGGAGGGGUUCACCAAGGAGGAGGGAUUCCCCAACAAGGAGGGAUUCCUCUCCAAGAAGGAGAGACUCACCAAGAAAGAGAGAUUCCUCAGCAAGGAGGAGGGAUUCCCCAACAAGGAGGGAUUCCUCUCCAAGAAGGAGAGACUCACCAAGAAAGAGAGAUUCCUCUCCAAGGAGGAGGGAAUCCCCAACAAGAAAGAGGGACUCCCCAACAAGGAAGAGAGAUAGAUCAAAAUCAAGGUCACCAUCAAGGAAAACUGAUUCCUCUAGACAUAAAAGGGAGCAUGGUAGAUCUCGAUCAGGGUCUCCACACUCUAGGAAUCACCAUAGAAGAUCUCCAAGAAGAAGGCAUUCACCAAGGCACAGAUCACCUCCAGCAAGGCAUCAUUCUCCUAAAAGAUGUUGGUCACCACCUGCCAACAGGAAGACUGGAUUGAGUAAGCCUGGGCGGAAUCUGUUUGUUGCAGGUUUUAGCUAUGCCACCACAGAGCGAGAGUUGGAGAAGAAAUUUGCAAAGUUUGGACGUGUAACAAGGGUGCGGGUUGUCCGAGAUAAACGAACUGGAGAUUCUCGAGGCUUUGGAUUUUUAUCCCUGGAGAAGGAUGAGGACGCUGAUGCAGCAAUCCGAGCUUGCGACGAGACUGAGUGGAAUGGUAGGAUCAUUCUUGUGGAGAAGUCCAAGGCACCUGCAUGGUGAAUCUUACACCCUAGAGCUCUGCAAACAAUGCUCUGGGUGGGCGGGACCAGUUUGCACAGCUUUUAUCGUACCAACAGUAUAACAUAAACUAUUAAUUUAUCAUUACAUGUGGCAAAGUUUACUUGAACCAGCUCUCUAUGCUGUACUAGGAGACCCUGCUGCUGAUAAAGAGGGAGUUAGCGGUACACAUUGUAAUAUCUGCAACCUCUACUACACAUUCAUGACAUUCAUCAUCCUCUUCUUCCUCUGCAUGGUGAUCGAGUGUUUGGCUGGCAGUUCAGUUCAUGGUGAUGCAUGGGCGAAAUUCAGACUUGCGACGCUGUGUUGGUCAUUUUUAAGUUAGGACAAUAAUUUUAUACGUUUGUAUGUGCUCUGUGUUUUAGGUCGUGGAUACUACUAUAUGUUGGAUAUGUCCCGAUAACUUUUCUGCUGUCUUUUCUUUCUGCCUCUACUCAUGAAUCAGAAAUAUUUUAUGCAAAAAAGAACGACAUUCUGAUCC
rnacentral:rRNA from 1 species